rnacentral:lncRNA from 1 species
UCCAAAAUCAGAGGGCUAAAAAGGACUUAGAGAAGUCACAGAGUUCACCAGUUUGCCUCCCAGCAUAGGAUGGCAUCUAAGUCUAACAAGGCAGGUGAUGAAUAUUGUUAAAGGUAGCUGGUGUUUCACACUGUUCAAAUGGAUGUCCAACUACCAUUUAUUAUAAGAAAGAGCUUUUUUGCCCUACUGAUACCAGUGGCAGAAUCAUUCUAACUAAAAUAUGUGUUAAAUAUCAGAAGCUAUCAAUGUUCUUAU